rnacentral:rRNA from 1 species
AUGAACGCUGGCGGCGUGCUUAACACAUGCAAGUCGAACGAGGUCCAUCCAAACUUGUUUGGGGAAGAUCUAGUGGCGAACGGGUGCAUAACACGUGAGAAACCUGCCUCAGUCUCUGGGAUAACAGUUGGAAACGACUGCUAAUACCGGAUGCCGUCACACCACCACAUGAUGGAGUGACGAAAGAUUUAUCGGAUUGAGAGGGUCUCGCGGCCUAUCAGCUAGUUGGAGAGGUAACGGCUCACCAAGGCAUCGACGGGUAGCUGGUCUGAGAGGAUGAUCAGCCACACUGGGACUGAGACACGGCCCAGACUCCUACGGGGGGCAGCAGUGGGGAAUCUUGCACAAUGGGCGAAAGCCUGAUGCAGCAACGCCGCGUGCGGGAAGAAGGCCCUAGGGUUGUAAACCGCUUUCAGUAGGGAAGAAAAUGACGGUACCUACAGAAGAAGGUGCGGCCAACUACGU